AUUGUCAGGAUUUUAUUAACAACGGAGAAAAUUGACACUGGAUCUUAGAUUGACCAAUCUGAGUGGUGCAGUUGAUACAACAGAAGGAAGGGGUGCCAACCAAAGGGACCUGAACAGGCUUGAAAAGCAGAUGCAGAUAUUGCAAACAAAUAUUGGGAGUUCUACAGUUCAAUGGUGAGCUACUGAAUGUGCUGUCAGUGUAACUACAGAGAUAUUUAUGGACUGCUGACUGCAGGAGAAGGACAGUGACAACAUUACCAUAGGAGUUGUUUUGAUGUGCAACUGGAGAUCUGAGACUGAAAUUACUACUUCAGUUAUGGACUGAUCUGUGCAAUUCAUUAUAGUCUGAUAACAGUGAGAAUUCAACCAGAUGCUA